rnacentral:rRNA from 1 species
UACAGAGGUCUCGAGCGUUGUUCGGAUUCAUUGGGCGUAAAGGGUGCGUAGGCGGCGCGGUAAGUCGGGUGUGAAAUCUCGGAGCUUAACUCCGAAACUGCAUUCGAUACUGCCGUGCUUGAGGACUGGAGAGGAGACUGGAAUUUACGGUGUAGCGGUGAAAUGCGUAGAUAUUGUAAGGAAGACCAGUGGCGAAGGCGGGUCUCUGGACAGUUCCUGACGCUGAGGCACGAAAGCGUGGGGAGCAAACAGG